rnacentral:rRNA from 1 species
CCUACGGGUGGCUGCAGUGGGGAAUAUUGGACAAUGGGCGCAAGCCUGAUCCAGCAAUGCCGCGUGGGUGAAGAAGGUCUUCGGAUUGUAAAGCCCUUUCGGUGGGGACGAUGAUGACGGUACCUGCAGAAGAAGCCCCGGCUAACUUCGUGCCAGCAGCCGCGGUAAUACGAAGGGGGCUAGCGUUGCUCGGAAUGACUGGGCGUAAAGGGCGCGUAGGCGGCGCGGCAAGUCGGGCGUGAAAUUCCUGGGCUCAACCUGGGGGCUGCGUUCGA